GCUCUUGUUUAUUCCACCGUUUCAUUCAUUCUUCUGGGUUUCUCAUUUCCUUUCUUUUGUAACGCCCUCAACCUUUCUUCUCCAUAAUAAACUUUGCCAACGGUUCCUUAAUUUUAUUUUGUCGGUCUCUCUUUAAACCCCAUUUCGUGGUUCUGAACCUUCUAUAUACGACGCUCUGUAGAGACCAAGGGAGGACAAUGCAGGCGCUGGUCUUGGAUGAGGGAACGAGAACGCAGUUGAAUCUGGGAUCAAACUCUAUGCCAUAUAUCUCCUUCUCCUUGAUGCUACUACUUUCAAGUCUCGAGAAUUAGGGUUUUCUGCAUCAAAUUCACAUCUUUCAAACCCUCGCUCCCCUCCAUGCCACCGAUUUGCAUCUCAAUCCAAUUCACUGCCUCUGAAUCACUUUUGCAGAAUUUUAUUCUGUUGCAGUAUAUUACACAUUUACACAUAUAUUUGGUCUUUUGAUUCUACUCUAUGAAUAUCAACAUAAGAUAGCCCCAAUUUCAUGCCUCAUUGAGUUUUUUCCUACUACCAGUCCUCAAUGAGAAGGGAUUUCAUGGAUGAAUUUGUAGGAUUGUUAAGGUUUUCAUGAGGAACUCUAUAGUUUGUAAUCAAGAUGAACAAUUAUUCUAUGUAAAUGGAAAAGUGAUCAGGGUCAAGUGGCUGCAUGGUGGUCCUAAUAUAAGCAAAAGUUGCAUCAGGAGCAUGUUUGUUCAGGUAUCUACUACACUGUUUUGAUUUGAACUUUUGGUCAUUAUUGUUUCUGGAAUGGAAUAUAAGAUAUCCUUAAAAUAUGAUGAAGUAUGAGUAUGUAUUUUUCAGAUCCCUUCGGGCUCUAUAUUCCAAUAUUCUCAUGUAUCCCCAUCGCAGAUUUGUAAUAUUUUUUCCCCUGAUUUAAAGCAUUCUACUAAAUCAGUAUUACAACUAGAAUAAUUUGUUCCAUUUUUUCUUAUUUGUUCUCAUUUCUCCUGAACUAAUUUUAGCAAUAUGAUGACAAGGAACUUCUUUCGUUAGAUUUAUUUUGUGCGGUGAGGAGGAGGAACAUGGUGGUGGUUAUGAUCAUCAGAAAAUGGAACAUAGUGCAUUUGGUCAUUUGGAGGUGGUGGGGUUGAUGCUAAUUUUCCUGUGACACCAAACAUGGUUUCUGAUUUUGCAACACCAAACAUAGUUUUCUGUCUCGAUCUCAUUCUUGGCCCAUUCUUUUUAAUCUUGAUGUUUAUUGCUUGCCAGGGUUAAAGUUGCAGAAAGUCUACGUUUUUGCUCUAUGCGUCGUUUCUCCAUGCUUUGGGGCUUACCCUGGGUUUGCGAUUUCAGUUUCCUUCCUGUGCUACCUGAAUGAUAUCUUGCUCGCUGCAUAACAUCUAUGUAUGAAUUUCUUUGUUGCAGUGCUUUGGUUCUAUUCUAGGAUACAUAUUUCUUUGAAGGGAUGUUUCGUUCAAACCAAGUUGCAACAGUUGGUGUAAUGGAGCAGCAUUGGAAGGAUCAGAAUCAGAUGCUUAUAACUAGCAUUAGUUGUAGAUGUGAAAACAAAUAACUUAUGAAUAAUGGUUUGGAUGUUGCUUAAUUCUUGCUUUUGCUGACCUUUUUACCAGACUAGGAGAACCAAGUUUACUAUUCUCUAAAAUUCGUUUAUAACAAAAUCUAUAGUGAAUACUUUGAUUAACAUGACUUUUGUGCCCUUUGCAGUUAAUGACGUGAUGAGGGUUCCUUUUUCCCCAAACUUAUAAUGCAGUUUGAACCUAUAUGAAGCUUUCUAUCAAAUUUGCAAAUUCAUCUAUGAGAGAUUAAUUAGAUGUUUGCCUCCUUUGUGUAUGAAGGAGAUUCACUUAUGUUUUAUGGCUAGGCUUAUAAAUUGCCAUAAGGUCACACUUAGUUCUUAUGAUCAAAUUCUGUUAUGUUGCUCUCUCGGUGAAGAACAAGGUUUCCCUUCAGAAUCUGAUCCCUUUGGAAUGACUUACUUCAACAAACCAGUAGGCAUAGCUUUUCUUUUCUUUUCUUUUCUUUUUUCUCAAAAACAGUAGAGGCACAAAAAAUCCUUAAUUAUUACUAAAAUUUUGCUGAAAUGGAUAAUAUUCUUGAUUGUGUUAUGAAAGCUAGCAAUUUGACUAUAUGAGAGACUUGAGUGUGUUGAAGUAUACACAAAUGAGAAAUCAACCACAAAUAACAGUGUGAAACAAUAAUUAGUAUAAUAUUUCGCAGUUUAUACGAAGAGUUUUUUCUUGGUCAAGUGUUGUUAUGUUCAUGAGUGUGUGUGUGUUUUCUUUAUUUGUUUUCUUUUAAUUUGGAGUAAUAUAUAAGUGUUUCUUUAUUUGCUGUUUUGUUGGCCUGGAUUGUCUUUGUCCUUUAGGAAAGGUGAACAAACAAGAAUCAAUUCAAAGGCUUCAUGAUUAGUGUGACCUGAGGUACAAGGAGGAAUUGCUAUAUUUCUCGAACUAUUUAUGUGCUAUUCACCUAUGUGUUGAUUUAAGAGGAGUUGCAAAGGUCAUUAUUUUGUCUGUAAUGCUGUGUUAAGGAUGAUUUAUGGUCUUCCAGGCCAGUUUUUCCCCAUGUUCUUCUACAUUCAUUUUCUAAUUAAGUGGAUUUGAGCAAGGGCACCCUCCUUCCAUGAUUCCUUAUGCAGUUCUCUAAGAUUUCUUUCCAUCCGUCAAUGGAAGUCAAGCCAAGCUCUGCUCCUGUCUGAUGGUCAUUCCUCAACUGCAUCGUGAUAUCCAAAGAAUCUUCUCCUUUAAUUGGAGGCUUUAGAGCUUGAAGGUUUCCUCUUCUUUUGACUUUCAUCUCCAUAGAAGAGCAUUUAAAAGUCAAGUAUGAUGUUGGUGAAUUGAGAACUCACAAGAAAUGUUAAAAUGAGUAUGAGAGCAUAAGAGGUUUUCACUACGACAAUUUUCUUCUGCAUUUUUUCUUUAUAUACAAAUGUAUUUGUGAAAAGGGUCAUUCCAUUUUAUCUUCCUUUUUGCACUUAAAUGGGCUUCCAUAGUCAUCUUUGUUAAAGCCAUGACAAGUAACUUCUGAUUUUCUAUUCAAUAGCAUUAAUAGGGUAAGAAUAUGUAAGAUUUUCCUAUUCAACUUGGCUUUUUCUGUGA